rnacentral:rRNA from 1 species
UACGAAGGGUGCAAGCGUUACUCGGAAUUACUGGGCGUAAAGCGUGCGUAGGUGGUUUGUUAAGUCUGAUGUGAAAGCCCUGGGCUCAACCUGGGAAUUGCAUUGGAUACUGGCAGGCUAGAGUGCGGUAGAGGGUAGUGGAAUUCCCGGUGUAGUGGUGAAAUGCGUAGAGAUCGGGAGGAACACCCGUGGCGAAGGCGGCCAACUGGGAUACACCUGACGCUGAGGCACGAAGGCGUGGGGAGCGAACGGG